rnacentral:lncRNA from 1 species
GCUUCAAGAAAAUAAUUUCAGGAUCACUCAAAAUAGUCUUUUUAUUACGUUUGUGGCAUGUCAUGACUCUAACUUUAAUAAAACUGUUCAUAUGACUUGUUUUAUAGUAUAUUUUAUGAUAAUUAGUCAGAAGAUAUUUUAAAAAUAUAAAAAAUAAAAAUAAUUUUUAAAAAAUAUAUAAAAAAAUGGGACACCUCUUAGCCUAAAGAAAAUAUUUUC